rnacentral:lncRNA from 1 species
ACCAUUUGUGACAUUGGCAGGAACUGAGUCCAAAUGGAGAGAAGAUGAACUCUCUCUCCGCCUAGUGAAAUUAAACAGAAUAGAACAGUGUCAUUUGGAAGCAAGGUACACACCGUCCUGAGAAAAAGUAACGGAUGUUGUUUAGGGUGCAAAUUCCCAGUGGAGAGAAGAGUGUUUUUUGUGAAAUUUCAUUGCUGGUAUUCCAAAAAGAAAACAGAAAAAAAAAUGUUUUUGCUUACUGGAGUGACUCCCUGCAGAGCCCAAUGAAACCAGACCUAAGGUGGCCACAUACAUCUCUCCUGAUGGUGACCCUCAUCUGCUCAACAAACAUUCACUCAUUCCUGCUUCACCGAAGCUGAAGCCAGCAAGUCCUUUCCCACAGAGCAGUGCUGGCUGAGGCUUGCUCCUGACACAGAGGUCAGUUCCCCAUCAUCAGAGAUGUCCCCAGAUGGGAGUUACACCAGAGGUCCCCCUGCUUUCCAACUGUAGAAGGUCACAGAGAUGCUUUCGGAGGGAUUCCAGCUAGAUCUCCAGCAAAAUUUCUAAUAGAAGAGGACAAGGAAUUCUCUCCUCAGGAAAAGCAGACAGCAGUGGCUCUGUAUGCAGAUCCAAGUACCAUGUUAUCAUGGAUCGCCCAGAAAGAAGUCUCAAAGCAGCAGUGGAAAUUCACCUCUCACAGUAUUCUACAGUUUAUAUAUUCAAAAUAUGCACAUGAUGAUUACAGAGUCAAUUUAACAUUGUAUAGUAGGCUCAAGGUUUUAUACAUUGCUAUAUCUGUGGCUGUAUUAUCAUAUCUACUCUCAGGGUUGCAAGUUUCUCUUUAUACUAGACCUUCAAUUAAUUAUGCUUUUUGAAGAAUUAUUCUUUAUAUUUAUCUAAUAUUCCAUUUACCUGUGUACCAUAGUAAACUUAAUCUUUUCUCUACUUCUCAUGCAGGUUUUUUGCAAAAUAUAAUUUACAUGCACAGGUUAUCAAUUUAUUCACAAUGCAAAAUACUUAUAAUUAUUAAGAACACAUCUAUAAAUGUUAGACGUUUAAACAUAAAUUUUUACUAUUACCUUCUGCUAGGUUGUAUCAUCAUCAUAAUUUUAUGUGCACAUAGUGAUAAUUUGAGUAUUCUGAUUUUAUGUACAUUUGCUGCUUUACUGGUAGCAAAUACACAUUAAUUGUCAUGUUUAUAUUUGAGUUGUUUCGUUCCGUUUUAUAAUACAAGAUUUGCAGAUUUCAAAUUUAACCAGUGAAGACUUGUAAAGAAAAAAAUCUAUGUUAUCAUUUUUAAAAUCACAUAUUUAAUCGUUCUAAUACAUUAUUUUUAAAUGAGUAAGUUUGAGCCAAGAUGAAAGCAAAUAGUGAUUAUUAAAGUCAUCGAUGCUCUGGUUAAUUAUUUCUUUUCUAAAAAUUAUUGACUUGUUUUUAUUAUGUAAACAUGUGUGUGCCUGCACACCUGUAGAUGCACCGUGUGAGGGAACAUGGUUGUGGAGACCAGCAGAAGGCAACAGACCUCUUGGGAUUGGAGUUAGGGUUGUGAGCUGCCCUAUCAGGCUCUGGGAAUCAAAGCAUGUACUCCACAGAGGCAGCAAGCUCCCUUCUCUGUUGAGUCUUCCCUCUCGCGACCUGAUUUUUGUCAGAAGACGUGGAAGACAGAAAUUAUGAUUUGCCAUGUAUAUUGAAUAUUUUUCCCCAUCUCAGAAGGAACUGCCUUCUAUUUACAUCCCUUGUCUACCGUUUCUCUUCUGUAUUUUUUUUCUUGAAGUAUGCAGAACUCAUUUGGCUGGAGUGAUUAAUAUGUCACCAUGUCCAUUCUCUCUGAGAGGUUCAUAAAUCAGCCAUAAAAUAUGUGAGCCUGCAGCACACUUGGCAUGUAUUCUUAGCCCAGAAGCAGUUUUCCACCUUUUUAAAUGAAAUAGUUCUGUUUUGUGAACUUACAAAGGGAUGACAUCUGAAUAUUUCUUGACUCUCUGUUUGUUAUGCCUCUUCCCUUGAAAGAUUUUGUUCUAUGGGAAUAUAAAAUACAGAAAAUUCAGAAACCA